rnacentral:tRNA from 1 species
GCCGUCAUAGCUCAGUUGGUAGAGCGCAUCCAUGGUAAGGAUGAGGUCUCGGGUUCGAUUCCCGAUGUCGGCU